GGACAUUUGAAAUGGAGCUGAGAGAAUUGAUGGAGCUAAUUGAAACGGAGAGAUGCAAUGAAAAUGCAAUGAAAAUGGAAAAUGAAAUGUUAAGAAGAAUGAGGACCCAUCAGAGACCAGACCCUGCUGAUCCUGAAUCCAGCUGUAUGUCCAUGAAGCCACAACUACAUAAAAAAGAAGGCGACCUGUAAUCAAGGGGGAAUUAAAACGGACAAGAGGCCAUUUGAAAUGGAGCCGGAGAGAAUUGAUGGAGAGCCGUGACUAUGAGAGGGAGCAAUUGAAAAUAAUAUUGAGGACCUUAAUGGAACUUGAACCUGAACCCAGCUGUGUGUCCAUGAAGAGCAACCCGGUCCAUUGGGCCACCACUGUGUUUGAAAGGACAACAUCUCCCAACUACAGAG